UAUCUCUGUAGAGUCUGCAUAUCAAUAAGCGGAGGAAAAGAAACUAACUAGGAUUCCCUUAGUAACGGCGAGUGAAGCGGGAAGAGCUCAAAUUUGAAAUCUUCAAGGUUUCUACCUUGACGAAUUGUAGUUUAAAGAAGUGUUUUCUGUUGGAGUUUUGGUAAAAGUUCUUUGGAAUAGGACAUCAUAGAAGGGUGAGAAUCCCGUAUUUGACCAUUUCUUUCCAGCUUUGUGAUACACUUUCAAAGAGUCGGAUUGUUUGGGAAUGCAGUCCAAAAUGGGUGGUAAAUUUCAUCUAAAGCUAAAUAUUGGCGAGAGACCGAUAGCGAACAAGUACCGUGAGGGAAAGAUGAAAAGAACUUUGAAAAGAGAGUUAAACAGUACGUGAAAUUGUCAAAAGGGAAGCGUUUGACACCAGUGUUGUUUUCUCGAAAAUCAAUUAAAAAUGGCCUGGAUUUUGUGUUGUAUUGACUUUAUCAGCUUUCUGCACUCUUUUUCUUGUCUUUUUUAAUGCACUUUUCGUUUAACAAGUCAACAUCAAUUUCUUUUGUUGUAAAAGAGUCAUUGGAAGGUGGCUUUCACUUCGGUGAAAGUGUUUAUAGCCUUUGACUUCUGCAAUCGGAGAGAUUGAGGUCUGCAGCGUAGAUCCUUCGGGGUUAGAUACAUUUGUGCUAAGUUAUAGUUUUUCAUAGACAACAUGUUGACUAUGAUUAAUCAUGUAGCUUACUCGCUUACGCUAUUUUACCUACGCUUAGGAUGUUGAUGUGAUACUGCGAGCA
rnacentral:rRNA from 1 species